rnacentral:lncRNA from 1 species
GUGUCCAAAAAACAAAACAAAGAAAGAAAGAGAAAACAAAAACAGCUGCAGUGGCUCACACCUGUAAUCCUAGCACUUGGGGAGGCUGAGGUGGGCGGAUCACUUGAGGUCAGGUCAGGGGUUAGAGACCAGCCUGGCCAACAUGGUGAAACCCCAUCUCUACUAAAAAUGAAAAAAUUAGCUGGGCGUGGUGUUGCAUGCCUGUAAUCCCAGCUACUUGGUAGGCUGAAGCAGGAGAAUCACUUGAACCCUGGAGGCAGAGGUUGCAGCGAGCUGAGAUUACACCACUGAACUCCAGCCUGGGUGACAGACUACUUAGUAGGCUGAAGCAGGAGAAUCACUUGAACCCUGGAGGCAGAGGUUGCAGGGAGCUGAGAUUAUGCCACUGAACCCCAGCCCAGGCGACAGAAUGUUAUUACAAGCCAUAUGAGGCCUGACAUUCCUGUUCUACCACUGGCUGGAAGAUGAAGCCAACCAAUAAAAGAGCUGGCACAUGAAGGAGCUACAAGAGAGAACCAAAAGAAUUGCAGAGAAUGAAUUAAAUUUUAAGGCAUUGUAUCUCCUGAACUUCCACUUAUAGGAGGCAACAGUUUAAGCUGAUUGUUUCUUGCAGUCAAAAGCAUUAAAAAAUAUCUGGAUAGGGAUUUGCGUUGUAUAGAUGUGCAAUUGCUUUAGUCAAUAUUCAUCAAAUGGCAUAUUUUAUUGUAUAUAAAUUUUAUCUCUGAAAAAAAGAACCAAAAGCAAAGAGUGAAUACUAGUUAGUACACCGAGAGCUGAAGGUUUUAGGAAAAGUGUAUUAUUGUCUACAACGUACUCUGAAAUACUUUCCAAAAAAAGAUGAAUUAAUUGACAGAUGGAUAGAGGGAGAGCUAGAUGGAUAGUCAUGUGAUAAAGCAAUACAGUGAAAUGUUAAUUGUGGAAUCUUAAGUGGUGGACAUGAGUAUUCACUGUAAAAUUAUUUAAACUUUUCUGUACAUUUGAAAUUUUUCAUAAUACAAUGUUAGAGGAAAAAGCUCUAACUUACUCCUAUUGCUUAUACUUGGAUGUCCUUAAAUAUUAUGUGAUGGCUUCUGGCUCUUCAAGUAUAACAAGAGAAAAAAAUGUUCCUUAUCAUGGCGUCAAGGCCUGCUAAUCCUCUCUCAUGACGACCUAGGCUAUGCUCACUGUAUAACAGUAGAAUUUGUUUCUACCGUUAGAAUUUAUUUUAUUGAUGACUGGUUUGUAGAAUGUAAUUGGCAAUGUGAGGGAAAAUGAAUCAGAGUCAUACAUUAGGUAAUUCCCUCAAAACCACAUCCCUAAACAGUUUUAUUAUUGUCAGUUCCUCAGAACAAAAUAGGAAGAGAUUUGGUAA